GCCUUCGUAGUGUAGUGGCCAGCAUACUCGACGCGAAUUCGAGAGGUCCGUGGUUCGAGUCUCGGCGAAGGCU
rfam:Stegodyphus mimosarum contig48826, whole genome shotgun sequence.